CAAUAGCGUAUAUUAAAGUUGUUGCAGUUAAAAAGCUCGUAGUUGGAUUUCUGGUCGGAAGCUCCUGUCCUCUGAUGAGCGUACAAGUGCGUCCUACCAUCCUUCUGUUGACCUUUAAGGCUUUCGCGGCUUUCUAGGGGCUCAGAUAUUUUACCUUGAGAAAAUUAGAGUGUUUCAGGCAGGCUAGCGCCGGAAUACAUUAGCAUGGAAUAAUGGAAUAGGACUUUUGCCUCUUCUGUUGGUCAUGAGGCUCGAGUAAUGAUUAAUAGGGAUAGUUGGGGGCAUUAGUACUUAACUGUCAGAGGUGAAAUUCUCGGAUUUGUUAAAGACUAACUUAUGCGAAAGCAUUUGCCAAGGAUGUUUUCAUUAA
rnacentral:rRNA from 1 species